rnacentral:lncRNA from 1 species
AUGCUAGUUGUGUGGAUAACUUUGAACUAUGCUUUGACGGACAGAAUCUUAAUGGUGCUCCAUCUGAUCAAAGUUGAUUGUGGUUUAGGCUCUGCAGCAAUAGUACCAUUGAGCAGUUUUUCUGGAGGAACUAUUUUGUUAUGGAAUGCUGAUUUGAUGAGUGACCUGCAUGUGCUCUUUGAGUGUUGUCAUAACUCUUCUCUGUAUUUUUCUGCCCGGGAUUCUUCCUGGAAUGCUGUUUUUCCCUUUCUGGAAGACAUGGAAAGGGAUAUGGUACACAGUGUAUGCGUGCAUGGGGAAAAAAUUGUUAGCUUGUAGGAAAGGUUGGAAUUCUCCCGUCUUGCUCCUAGCCAUCUCUUUUUUUCUAGUUCUGUUAUCUACCUCUAAAGCGAUUGCCCAUUUAGAUCCACAUACUUCCUUUCUCACUGGAGAUGGAGACACAAAUGCUCUGGAAAGGAGUUCUGUAGGAUGAACCCGAAGUGGAAUUAGGGAGAACCAUGUCUGUAAUGCUUGACGUGAGCUGAUAGCUGCAAAACUUGGUUGCUUUAAUUAGUAUGAUUAUUUUGAGGAAGAAUUAAACAAUAGAAUUGUAAUAUUCGUUGACAUAUGUAUCUCCUACUGGGCUAGAUGGGUGUUUUUGGUUUUGUUUUGGUGUGGUUUUGUGUGCGUGUGAUUUUUGCCUUGCUUUUAUUCAUGUUAAUGAAUAUGAUUUGCUUUCCCCAUAUCUACCAAAAGUAAAAGUUAGAGUAAAUAUUUAUAGUGGUCUUGAACAUUGGCCAAACAACUCUCACUGAAAAUCAUUCGCAAAUCUUUUGAAUGCUGAAGAUGGCUAAUGUGGUGCAAUUCUUAAUAAAUAACUUGGAAGGAAAGGAUACCUUUUAGUU